GAAGUGAUGCGUUCAGGGGUUGAUAGGAUCACUCUUGACCGGCAGUGGAGCGAGUCGCGUCUCUGCAUUCCCUCACCGGAGAAGUUAGACCGAAACAGACUCCCUAUCUGGAUCCGGAUCUUUUUACUCUCCUUCUGCAGCCCAGGAUGGAAGUUUUACUGGACACCUGUGAACGACGAAGGGUCAAACAUCUGCUGUUAAUUUACCUCUUUGUCGUGAAGGCAGCAGCUGACUGUCCUAAACCUCAGGGAACAGGAAAUAUUGUCUUAACCAAUGAAGCACUUCUAAGGAAUGACUUUCCUGAUGCCUCAAGUGUCACUUUCGAGUGUGUUAAUGGUUAUGUUCAAGAAAGUGGCACUGGGAUUAUAACCUGCGUUAGUGGGACAUGGACUGAACCAGAUAUCGUCUGCAUAAAGAGGGACUGUGGUCCUCCUAAAGCUAAGCCGAAUAUGAGCUUUAACAUCAGCGACGGUACCCUGUUUGGUGCUGUGAUAAAAGUAGUUUGUGAUAAAGGUUACUAUGUCAUUGGAUCAAGCUACAAACAGUGCUAUUCAGCAGGGUGGACUGGAAGAGCUAAGUGUGAAAUUGUAACAUGUAGUGCACCCGUUGGAGUGACCAAUGGCAAAAACAACUGGGAUUCUUCAGAUGAACCAAAAUAUGGAGAAAUCAUACAUUAUGAUUGUGAUGAGGGAUACACCCUGGUUGGGAAUGAUGACAUUACAUGCAGUGAAACUGGUGAAUACGAUUCACAGCCUCCUGAAUGCAAGGGUGUGACAACAGCAGAUAGAAUUACAACAGAAAUGGCAACACCAACUACACCCAUCUACACACAAGAAGCGUCCACUUCUACCGGUCCAUCUACCACACGCACAGCUCACAGAGAUAAAACUAUGACAACCAGUCAAACAACUGUCCCACCUUCAACAAAAGGUGGCAGAGGCCUUUUGGCACCUGAAGAUAAAGCAACUACAGCCAGUGUAACAGCACCCACAUCAUUUCAAGGUAUUGAACAAUUUAAUGAAAAAGCAGUCAAGUCUGAAUCUUCUAUCCAUUUGGAAGUUGCAUGAUUACAAGCUUUACAAAUUUAAUAACGGACUUCUGUUCCAUGGAUUUUUACUGUAGCUCCCAUGAGUCCAGUUUGAAUAUAAUGUAUUUUAAAACUUAAACUUCCAGAUUUUGUGUGUUUUAUGUCUAUUUGGUCUAUGGAUUUGUUAUUUCAGUUAAAUUACCUGCUUGUUUCAGUAAAGGGAAGAAGGUUUUUUGUGUAUUUAGCAUAAAAACAAUAUUGUAAUAACUGGCCUAGAUUUUCUUUUAAGCCAACCGAAAUGUGUCUGUGAGUCAAACACUAGAUUUAGUACUUUAAAACUGGUCACAAUGGGAAAAUAAUGGGUAACCAUGGAUUUUAUAGAUACCACAGAAGGAAAAAUAUAAUAACGCCUGUCCUUUGCUACACUUGGACAUAUAAAACGAUUUACGAGAAUGAAAGUUGUCAUCAGUGUGGACAGCUUAACCCUAAACCAUCAGACUGGGCAGAGCUUACACAAGCUCGUAGCUCACUGAAUAGAAUUCUUCGUUCUUUUGUCGCCUUUUUAGAUUUCCUGGAAUACCUGAACUAACAAAGUUAACUUAAAAAUAGUUGAGCAUAUUGGGAAAUGGCAGAGAGUUGGGGAUGAACUGAAACUUGCUGUUUUAUGGGGGGGGGGUUAAUCCGCAAGGCUAUUUCUUGGCUCUGAACAGUUGCCAGGCAACCAACUGAGACUCUGGGAGGCUACUGCUCACAGCCAAGAUAUAAAAUGAAAAGAAUGAUGUGGCUAACCAGGAUAAUGGAUAUAUACCUGUUAUCAUCAGUGUGGUAUCCAUUUCAAUAGCUGUUCUGAUAGUUGUUCUAUUUUUACACAAGUUUGUUCUGAAGAGGAAAGGGUAAGAUCCAAUA